rnacentral:rRNA from 1 species
UACGGAGGGUGCAAGCGUUAAUCGGAAUCACUGGGCGUAAAGCGCGCGUAGGCGGCUUUGUAAGUCAGAGGUGAAAUCCCACGGCUCACCCGUGGAACUGCCUUUGAUACUGCAUUGCUUGAGUGUGUGAGAGGAUGGCGGAAUUCCUGGUGUAGGAGUGAAAUCCGUAGAUAUCAGGAGGAACACCGGUGGCGAAGGCGGCCAUCUGGCACAAUACUGACGCUGAGGUGCGAAAGCGUGGGUAGCAAAC